rnacentral:rRNA from 1 species
UACGUAGGGUGCAAGCGUUGUCCGGAAUUACUGGGCGUAAAGGGCUCGUAGGCGGUUUGUCGCGUCUGCCGUGAAAGUCCGGGGCUCAACUCCGGAUCUGCGGUGGGUACGGGCAGACUAGAGUGAUGUAGGGGAGACUGGAAUUCCUGGUGUAGCGGUGAAAUGCGCAGAUAUCAGGAGGAACACCGAUGGCGAAGGCAGGUCUCUGGGCAUUAACUGACGCUGAGGAGCGAAAGCAUGGGGAGCGAACAGG